rnacentral:rRNA from 1 species
AUUGAACGCUGGCGGCAGGCCUAACACAUGCAAGUCGAACGAGUGGCGGACGGGUGAGUAAUGUCUGGGAAACUGCCCGAUGGAGGGGGAUAACUACUGGAAACGGUAGCUAAUACCGCAUACCAUCGGAUGUGCCCAGAUGGGAUUAGCUUGUAGGUGAGGUAACGGCUCAACUAGGCGACGCUCCCUAGCUGGUCUGAGAGAGUGACCAGGCACACUGGAACUGAGACACGGUCCGUGAUCCUUCGGGAGGCAGCAGUGGGAGAUAUUGCACAAUGGGCGCAAGCAUGAGGCAGCCAUGCCGCGUGUAGGGAGAAGGCCUUCGGGUUGUAAAGUACUUUCAGCGGGGAGGCGGUACCCGCAGAGGAAGCACCGGCUAACGCCGUGCCAGCAGCCGCGGUAAUUC